rnacentral:rRNA from 2 species
CGUGUAGGCGGUUUUGCAAGUCAGAUGUGAAAUUCCCAGGCUUAACCUGGGCGCUGCAUCUGAAACUGCAAGACUUGAGUACUGGAGAGGAUAGUGGAAUUCCUAGUGUAGCGGUAAAAUGCGCAGAUAUUAGGAGGAACACCGGUGGCGAAGGCGACUAUCUGGACAGUAACUGACGCUGAGGCGCGAAAGCGUGGGGAGCAAACA